GCGGGCUCCAACCCGCGGA
rnacentral:tRNA from 1 species